rnacentral:rRNA from 3 species
CCUUAUCCUUUGUUGCCAGCGGUUAGGCCGGGAACUCAAAGGAGACUGCCAGUGAUAAACUGGAGGAAGGUGGGGAUGACGUCAAGUCAUCAUGGCCCUUACGACCAGGGCUACACACGUGCUACAAUGGCGCAUACAAAGAGAAGCGACCUCGCGAGAGCAAGCGGACCUCAUAAAGUGCGUCGUAGUCCGGAUUGGAGUCUGCAACUCGACUCCAUGAAGUCGGAAUCGCUAGUAAUCGUGGAUCAGAAUGCCACGGUGAAUACGUUCCCGGGCCUUGUACACACCGCCCGUCACACCAUGGGAGUGGGUUGCAAAAGAAGUAGGUAGCUUAACCUUCGGGAGGGCGCUUACCACUUUGUGAUUCAUGACUGGGGUGAAGUCGUAACAAGGUAACCGUAGGGGAACCUGCGGUUGGA